CCUACGGGUGGCAGCAGUGAGGAAUAUUGGUCAAUGGACGAGAGUCUGAACCAGCCAAGUAGCGUGAAGGAUGACUGCCCUAUGGGUUGUAAACUUCUUUUAUAUGGGAAUCAAACGUUCCACGUGUGGGAUUUUGUAUGUACCAUAUGAAUAAGGAUCGGCUAACUCCGUGCCAGCAGCCGCGGUAAUACGGAGGAUCCGAGCGUUAUCCGGAUUUAUUGGGUUUAAUGGGAGCGUAGGUGGAUUGUUAAGUCAGUUGUGAAAGUUUGCGGCUCAACCGUAAAAUUGCAGUUGAAACUGGCAGUCUUGAGUACAGUAGAGGUGGGCGGAAUUCGUGGUGUAGCGGUGAAAUGCUUAGAUAUCACGAAGAACUCCGAUUGCGAAGGCAGUUCACUGGACUGCAACUGACACUGAGGCUCGAAAGUGUGGGUAUCAAACAGGAUUAGAUACCCUUGUAGUC
rnacentral:rRNA from 1 species